AUACGUAGGGAGCGAGCGUUGUCCGGAAUUACUGGGCGUAAAGGGCGUGUAGGCGGGAAUUUAAGUAAGGUGUGAAAACUCCGGGCUCAACUUGGAGACUGCACUUUAAACUGGAUUUCUUGAGGGCAGGAGAGGAAAGUGGAAUUCCUAGUGUAGCGGUGAAAUGCGUAGAUAUUAGGAGGAACAUCAGUGGCGAAGGCGACUUUCUGGACUGCACCUGACGCUGAGGCGCGAAAGCAUGGGUAGCGAACAGGAUUAGAUACCCUGGUAGUCCAUGCCGUAAACGAUGAAUACUAGGUGUAGGGGGUAUCGACCCCCUCUGUGCCGCAGUUAACACAAUAAGUAUUCCGCCUGGGGAGUACGACCGCAAGGUUGAA
rnacentral:rRNA from 1 species